GAUCUCACUCUGUCACCCAGGAUGGAGUGCAGUGGUGUGAGCAUAGCUCACUGCAGCCUUUAUCUCCCAGGCUCAAGCGAUCCUAUCAUCUCAACCUCUCAAGUCCUGGGACUACAGGGUGGAAAAGUGGAGAACUAGGAGAGGCAGGAGUCAAAGACAUUGCUGGAUGCAUUGAGAAAACAAAUGUCAGUGCUAGGCCUGGAAGCUUCUUAAAAAGGACGAUGAAAUCACGAAGCUGAAAUCGGAACAACGUGCUUAGAUGACUUUGCAUUCCAUGAAGUCGGGGAGCAUAGAGGUUUUGUCUAUGGAGGUUGAUCAAGGGGGGUCUGAGGGAACCACAUGAUGUGAGCUGAGACAUGGACACACGACAUGGCAG